rnacentral:rRNA from 1 species
GUCUACGGCCAUGUCACCCUGAACAAGCCUGAUCCUGUCUGAUUUCAGAAGCCAAGCAGGGUUGGGCCUGGUUAGUACUGGGAUGGGAGACUACCUAGGAAGACCAGGUACUGCAGGUG